UACGAAGGGGGCUAGCGUUGUUCGGAGUCACUGGGCGUAAAGCGCACGCAGGCGGAUUGAUAAGUCAGGGGUGAAAGCCCAGGGCUCAACCCUGGAAUUGCCUUUGAUACUGGCUGUCUUGAGUACGGGAGAGGUGUGUGGAAUUCCGAGUGUAGAGGUGAAAUUCGUAGAUAUUCGGAGGAACACCAGAAGCGAAGGCGGCUCACUGGCCCGAUACGUGACGCUGAGGCGCGAAAGCGUGGGGAGCAAACAGG
rnacentral:rRNA from 1 species